CUCUGGGAAGCGCUGAACUUGAGGAGACUCCUGACCAGUGAAACUAGGAACAAGAUACAAACAAAGUCCUCAGCCAAUCAAGCGGAGUCGUGAGAGAUCCCGAAACGGCAUCCAUUGGAGGUCCUGAAGAGGGUUACACUGAAAGGAGAGUAUAAAAUAGGUUAGGUACUGAAUCAUAACUGGUCAAGCAUGCUUUCAAGAAGAAAUUAAUACAGAGCAG